AUAUGCAACUUAUUUUCUUCUUUCUCUUUAGGUUCCCUUUUCCAAUGUAGUGUAUAUAGAACGCUCCGAAAAGAUUUUCGGAUGAAGAUUCAAAAGAUUACUACCACAUUACUAGUGUCUCUCUGUUAUUUAUUCGAGGAUUUGUUGUAGACUUUGUCCUAAUACUUCUUCAUGUUGGGUUCAGAUACGCUUUCCCUAUCAAAUGCACGGAUGUUAUCCUAAGGAGACUGUUCUUGAAGUUCGGGCCGAGUAUGAUCCAUCUAAGAAGACAAAGCCAAAGAAUCCUGGUGAACUUGAAGACUGGCUUGCUGAUCUGAACCCGCAAUCCAAGACGGUUACACCCAAUGCAUACGCUGUUUAAUUAAUUUGCAUGAUAUAAUUGCAGUUGGCCAAAACUAUAAUUGAAGGUGUUUGAUCCAAAGUUUAACCAUGUGGUGUAGGGUAUUUUGUGGUCGAUAAGGAUUCAACUCCGGAGAAGCCUGUCUUUAAUCCGACGGUGACACUUAGAGACAGCUACAAUAAGAGUGGAAAGUUCUUUUUUCUUUUCUGUUUGUAUAAGAUGUUGUAAGAAAGCAUUCACAAAUUCUACUUGAGUCUCAUAUAGAUUUGAGUAAUCAACUACUAAUUGUAAUGGUUUGCUAAGUUUUUGAGAAGUUUAGUGAGUCCCCAUGUCCUCACUAAACUUUUGGAAAAGUUCCUGUUGAAUGAAGUGUUUGGUCUUUAGCAAAAAAGAAAACUACUACUGGAUAGCAUAGACUUGCUACCACUGUAAUUCCAAAUUCGAUAGCAUAAACCUUGCAAAUUCAGAAGGGAAGACUUGCUUUUAGGGCAAGUCCCAAAAGAUGAAAUAUCCCUCUGGACGCUCUCGGAGCACUGGUACGAGUAUGUGUUCGACUGUGAGUGGACAAUAAAGCCAAAUUCGAUAGAAUCGUGAUCCAAAGUAUGGCUCCACAUAAGGCUCCACUACAAGUACUGCUUGUGCUAAUGGUCGGGUGGAAUGGGGCUGUUGGCGCACAAAUAUCCUGGGAAUCGGGAGGAAAUCGGCCAUGUUAAUUGGCGGCACCAGAUAGUAGGGGUGUGGCGGUGGGAAAUGGCGGUACGACCCAGAGUGGGCAAAUGUGGUCAAAUGCUCAAAAGUUGAGACGGGCGGCGUAUCCAUUUUUUAGACCUGUUUUUGUUUGAAAAAGAGAAACACAAUCAAUAAAUAUAUCCAAACAAUUAAUGAAAGAAACUGGACUAAAAAAAAAUUUGCAUGCAAA